rnacentral:snRNA from 1 species
UAAUUCCUGUAUCUCUGGCUCCUUUGCAUUUAACCGAGAAAAUCUUUCGCCUUUUACUAAAGAUUUCCGGCAGAGGUGCAUUUUAUGAAUAUCAAAUAAUUUUUGGAAUCCCCUCGAGAGAGCGGGAUA